rnacentral:misc_RNA from 1 species
UCUCCGUAGGUGAACCUGCGGAGGGAUCAUUACAGGGUACUCGCCAUCACGGGUAGGUAUUACCCCCCAUCUUAUCGUUACCACUGUUUCUUUGGCGGGCCGCCGGGCCCUGCUCGGCCGCCGGCUCCGGCUGGCGCGCGCCCGCCAGAGGCCCUUUAAACCCUGAAUGUGAGUGUCGUCUGAGUACUAUACCAUAGUUAAAACUUUCAACAACGGAUCUCUUGGUUCUG